AGACAUAAAAUAGAUUAUCUAUACCUUGUUACGGACUUGGGUGACUUUGUUUU
rnacentral:tRNA from 1 species